CAAUAGUCAUCUAAAAUACCAUAGACAGCAACGGAUUAUUUAUAAUCUUAAUAAUGUUGCCGAGGCAUUAUGACAUGUAAUUAAAUAUUUAUUUAUAUGUUU
rfam:Spiroplasma mirum ATCC 29335 strain SMCA, complete genome.